ensembl:piRNA 21ur-4740 ncRNA
UUGAAAAACCACAUCAAGUUU